GCUUCCUCGCCUGAUCUUGCAGACAAUGCCAUUAACUUUAAGGGCGGAUGAUUCUGAUUACCCAGUUUUCUUCUAUACUCAACAUGAAGUUCAGCUGACCCCAACACAGCACCUCCGCAGUAGAAUCAACUUCUCCUUUAAACUUUACCGACGGAGAUGAUCUUCUCUCUUUAUAUUAUCUCUUAUAUUAGGAUAACGUUGACUCGCCCCCGCCAAGUAACUUAUAAUGACCAAGACACUAGCAAUAAGGUGGCUUUUUCCGAGUUUUCGUAUAGAUAGUAGAAAGUAUUCUAUCGCUCGCAUGGAAGAGAGCUGCUUCUUUUCUAGCUUAUGCAGCAAGUACAGUAUAUUAAUAGGGCUUUCUCCCUUUGCCCAACCCGCCAAGCAGAACAGUAGGAGUGAGUUCAAAAAGAGACUAUACUAGGUGAGCAACAGUCGGACUAGCUAUAAGAGAGGAAGAAGGGAAAGUAUUGCUUGUUUGAAAGUAUGGUUAUUACCGAUAUGCCCGAUAUGAGUCACAGCAGUAGGAUGAAACAAGGUAUUCAAUAAUAAAGUCAGUAU
rnacentral:lncRNA from 1 species